CAUUAACAAAAAAGGGAUAUGUUCAUAUGAGUUGGACAUGAUCGUUAGGUACCAAAAUAAUAGCACAAUUCCAGCAAACUAAAUGUUCCAGCUAAUAUGAUUUAACUAGGGAACUAGGAUACAUGUUCCAUAAGUAGGCUCACAAACAAUGUUUAGCCAAAUAUUGUUAGCCAAAAUACAUAAGUAGGCUCAAAAAACUGCCUUCAGUCCCUAUAUUCUCCAACUAAUAUAUUGAUCAACUUUGGAUGUGAGCUACUGCAGCUACUUGCCAUUACUCAUAACUAGCUAGAUGGUCUUCAGUUCUGGGUUCAUUCUCCUCGUCUGGAUCAUCUAUGAGCUUGUGUGCCUGCAUAAACAUGCAAGUAUAAGUGUGUUGUUAUAAAGAAAGUAUGCAAAGUAGAAACUAUUUUUCAUCUCAUAAACUAACCCUCUACUUUAUCCUGCGUUUUUUCCCAACUAACUCAACAUAUGGGCCAUAAGCAUCCAUAGAUGCCUUCCAUAUUCUUCAACAUUGUGCUUGAUAUGUAGGACAUGUUUUCCUGUUAUGUCCUGGAGCUCGACAAAUUCUGCAUUUUACGGUCUUUGUCUUUUGUUCAGGAACUUGACUAGGAGCCGAAGAUGUCAACUCUAUUGUUUCAGCUAGUUCUUGAACUUCAGUUCG
rnacentral:lncRNA from 1 species